UAAUACGUAGGUGGCAAGCGUUGUCCGGAUUUAUUGGGUUUAAAGGGUGCGUAGGCGGCCUAUUAAGUCAGUGCUGAAAUAUCCCGGCUUAACCGGGAGGGUGGCAUUGAUACUGAUGGGCUUGAGUAGAGUCGAGGUAGGCGGAAUUGACGGUGUAGCGGUGAAAUGCUUAGAUAUCGUCAAGAACACCGAUAGUGUAGACAGCUUACUAGGCUCAAACUGACGCUGAGGCACGAAAGUGUGGGGAUCAAACAGGAUUAGAUACCCUGGUAGUCCACACUGUAAACGUUGAUGACUCGCUGUUGGCGAUAUACAGUCAGCGGCUGAGAGAAAUCGUUAAGUCAUCCACCUGGGGAGUACGCCGGCAACGGUG
rnacentral:rRNA from 1 species